rnacentral:rRNA from 1 species
AGAGUUUGAUCCUGGCUCAGAACGAACGCUGGCGGCGUGGAUAAGACAUGCAAGUCGAACGAGAGAAUUGCUAGCUUGCUAAUAAUUCUCUAGUGGCGCACGGGUGAGUAACACGUGAGUAACCUGCCCCCGAGAGCGGGAUAGCCCUGGGAAACUGGGAUUAAUACCGCAUAGUAUCGAAAGAUUAAAGCAGCAAUGCGCUUGGGGAUGGGCUCGCGGCCUAUUAGUUAGUUGGUGAGGUAACGGCUCACCAAGGCGAUGACGGGUAGCCGGUCUGAGAGGAUGUCCGGCCACACUGGAACUGAGACACGGUCCAGACACCUACGGGUGGCAGCAGUCGAGAAUCAUUCACAAUGGGGGAAACCCUGAUGGUGCGACGCCGCGUGGGGGAAUGAAGGUCUUCGGAUUGUAAACCCCUGUCAUGUGGGAGCAAAUUAAAAAGAUAGUACCACAAGAGGAAGAGACGGCUAACUCUGUGCCAGCAGCCGCGGUAAUACAGAGGUCUCAAGCGUUGUUCGGAAUCACUGGGCGUAAAGCGUGCGUAGGCUGUUUCGUAAGUCGUGUGUGAAAGGCGCGGGCUCAACCCGCGGACGGCACAUGAUACUGCGAGACUAGAGUAAUGGAGGGGGAACCGGAAUUCUCGGUGUAGCAGUGAAAUGCGUAGAUAUCGAGAGGAACACUCGUGGCGAAGGCGGGUUCCUGGACAUUAACUGACGCUGAGGCACGAAGGCCAGGGGAGCGAAAGGGAUUAGAUACCCCUGUAGUCCUGGCAGUAAACGGUGCACGCUUGGUGUGCGGGGAAUCGACCCCCUGCGUGCCGGAGCUAACGCGUUAAGCGUGCCCCCUGGGGAGUCCGGGCGCAAGAUUAAAACUCAAAGAAAUUGACGGGGACCCGCACGAGCGGUGGAGUAUGGUGGCAUAAUUCGAUGCAACGCGAAGAACCUUACCUGGGCUUGACAUGUAAUGAACAACAUGUGAAAGCAUGGGACUCUUCGGAGGCGUUACACAGGUGCUGCAUGGCCGUUGUCAGCUCGUGUCGUGAGAUGUUUGGUUAAGUCCAGCAACGAGCGCAACCCCUGUUGCCAGUUACCAGCACGUGAAGGUGGGGACUCUGGCGAGACUGCCCAGAUCAACUGGGAGGAAGGUGGGGACGACGUCAGGUCAGUAUGGCCCUUAUGCCCAGGGCUGCACACGUACUACAAUGCCCAGUACAGAGGGGGCCGAAGCCGCGAGGCGGAGGAAAUCCUAAAAACUGGGCCCAGUUCGGACAGUAGGCUGCAACCCGCCUACACGAAGCCGGAAUCGCUAGUAAUGGCGCAUCAGCUACGGCGCCGUGAAUAAAAUCCCGGGUCUUGUACACGCCGCCCGUCA